rnacentral:rRNA from 1 species
GACGAACGCUGGCGGCGUGCUUAACACAUGCAAGUCGAACGGAAAGGCCCUGCUUUUGUGGGGUGCUCGAGUGGCGAACGGGUGAGUAACACGUGAGUAACCUGCCCUUGACUUUGGGAUAACUUCAGGAAACUGGGGCUAAUACCGGAUAGGAGCUCCUGCUGCAUGGUGGGGGUUGGAAAGUUUCGGCGGUUGGGGAUGGACUCGCGGCUUAUCAGCUUGUUGGUGGGGUAGUGGCUUACCAAGGCUUUGACGGGUAGCCGGCCUGAGAGGGUGACCGGCCACAUUGGGACUGAGAUACGGCCCAGACUCCUACGGGAGGCAGCAGUGGGGAAUAUUGCACAAUGGGCGGAAGCCUGAUGCAGCAACGCCGCGUGCGGGAUGACGGCCUUCGGGUUGUAAACCGCUUUCGCCUGUGACGAAGCGUGAGUGACGGUAAUGGGUAAAGAAGCACCGGCUAACUACGUGCCAGCAGCCGCGGUGAUACGUAGGGUGCGAGCGUUGUCCGGAUUUAUUGGGCGUAAAGGGCUCGUAGGUGGUUGAUCGCGUCGGAAGUGUAAUCUUGGGGCUUAACCCUGAGCGUGCUUUCGAUACGGGUUGACUUGAGGAAGGUAGGGGAGAAUGGAAUUCCUGGUGGAGCGGUGGAAUGCGCAGAUAUCAGGAGGAACACCAGUGGCGAAGGCGGUUCUCUGGGCCUUUCCUGACGCUGAGGAGCGAAAGCGUGGGGAGCGAACAGGCUUAGAUACCCUGGUAGUCCACGCUGUAAACGGUGGGUACUAGGUGUGGGGUCCAUUCCACGGGUUCCGUGCCGUAGCUAACGCUUUAAGUACCCCGCCUGGGGAGUACGGCCGCAAGGCUAAAACUCAAAGGAAUUGACGGGGCCCCGCACAAGCGGCGGAGCAUGCGGAUUAAUUCGAUGCAACGCGUAGAACCUUACCUGGGUUUGACAUGGAUCGGGAGUGCUCAGAGAUGGGUGUGCCUCUUUUGGGGUCGGUUCACAGGUGGUGCAUGCCUGUCGUCAGCUCGUGUCGUGAGAUGUUGGGUUAAGUCCCGCAACGAGCGCAACCCUUGUUCACUGUUGCCAGCACGUUAUGGUGGGGACUCAGUGGAGACCGCCGGGGUCAACUCGGAGGAAGGUGGGGAUGACGUCAAGUCAUCAUGCCCCUUAUGUCCAGGGCUUCACGCAUGCUACAAUGGCUGGUACAGAGAGUGGCGAGCCUGUGAGGGUGAGCGAAUCUCGGAAAGCCGGUCUCAGUUCGGAUUGGGGUCUGCAACUCGACCUCAUGAAGUCGGAGUCGCUAGUAAUCGCAGAUCAGCAACGCUGCGGUGAAUAGCGUUCCCGGGGCU